CAAACUGGGUCAGAACCGGUGGGCUGUGCUUUUAGCAGGAUUUUACUACCUCUCUUGUAAGGUUUAGCAAAGUUCUAAAUAUCCUCAUCUUAAAAGAGAACUCACUGGCUUUGCUGUGGAGGCACCAGAUGCCCUGUGAGUAGAGGGGAAAGGGGGUUGGAGCAGAAGCAAGGACAUUGUCUGUCUUAUCUUGGUAAAACCCAUAGGUGCUGCUGCUUUAACUGUGAAGCACUUGUUCCCCAGGAAUGCCUGUUCCUUAGUGUUUCCUACAUCUCAGCCUCUUUUGUGUGUACACCUGUGGUUUCCAUAUGGUCCCACACCUAAAGGUUCUGAAUUCUACUGCUGAAACUAUCUAAAAGUGGACGAAACCUACUUGCACAUUCUUAUUACACUUGGAUCCAAAUGUCUACACUUGAUGCUCCAGCCCAAGCCUUCGCCCCGAGAUGGCAUAUUGUCAUGGAAAUAGUAUGGCCUCUGCACAUAGGCCUCUGCAAGCAAUUCGGUUCUUUGUCCUAAUGAUUCCUUUGACAGUCUUCUUUUGAUCAAGCAAUUAUGUUAAAAUUUUUCAGUUCUAAGCUUUGAAAUAUGGCUCUUUCCAAGUGAAAGGACCAGCUGAAAGACUGCCAUGUGAUAGGACAUUGGUGGGAAGGUGUCCUCUUCAGUGCCAGUCAGGCAGAGACCUACAGGACUGGCAUCUUACUGUGUCUGUCUGAAUGCUCUUCAGUGGAAUGAUGCUGUCUGUAAGUGCGAGUCUUACCAAUGACGUAACAGUUUAAUAUCUUUGAAUGUUUUUAAUGGCCAAGUUGCUGCUGAACUUGUACUAAAUCAGGGGAUCACAAAACUAGCUCCUCCCUUUCCAAACUGUAUUCAUACCAUUGAUGUGUCAGUUACCCCAAAGGCUCAGCUCACCAGGUCACUCAGCUACACUUGGUGAGGAAUGCACCCAAGUGGCUGUAAAAAGUUGGCAUCUUGGUUAACGACUAAUGAGGGACUAAUGAGAUCGUGGUAUCUGUUAGCCACAGUCACUUAGGUGGCUUAGGUCCUGGCGUCAGCGUGUGUGAGUCCCUGUCUCGCCGCAGGAGCAGAACAGUUGGAGGCAGGUGAUGCUAAUGAAGAGCACGGGACUCCAUUUCUUCCAGUAACACUUCCGCUUUCCUAAAAGAUGUGUUUGUUCUUUUCCAGCUUUAUUUUUAAAAGUGCCAAGUCAGAAAACCAACAAGUGGCCUGUGGCUGGGCCCUGCUUGGGACAACUAGAAACCAAGUUCAUGUGACGUUCUUCACUUUACUAGAGUUCACUAAUGACACUUUCCACUGUUCUCUGGAAUUCAGUGUGUCUUUAACAGAACAUCUCAGCGGUCACAGGCCACGCCUUGGUCACAGGCCACGCCUUCUUAAGUAUGUAUGAAACUUUGUUAGAGAUGAAUAUAUAGAAUAGUUCUCUUCGUCAUCUUUUCCUGAAAUGAAACACAAAUUUCUGCUCUAAGUUUUAAUGAACUUCUGAUGUACUGAGGUGGAAAAUCAGGCCUCCCCAGCCUCUGUCACCUAUGAACAUGAAUGUACCAGACCCAUGACUACUCUGUUCUUAGCCCAGCCUUCUUUUGGUUGUGAAACCAAUCUAAUCUCACACUACUUCAGCAGCCAAGUGCACUGAAGCCAUACAGGGAGGGCAGUGCACGCCUCCAGUGUUUCUCUGAAGACCUUGCAUUUCUUCAGAGCCCUGGACUCGAGUGUUCAUAGUGUUAGGAAGUCUGCCCCGCUCUGAGACGUGCCUUUCCUUUGCUCACAAGGCAUUGCUUUGUCCUGGUGAUGAGUUUAUAAGCCUUCUUCCCUCCCUGCUCCUUAACAAAAGCAACGUGAUGGAUAGCUGAUGCUCACAGUGUCUGCCCAUGUGGAUGCACUUGUGCUGGUAGAGUCUGGUGAGAUGAUCUCAAGUAACUAUGCCAGCUUUGGUGUAGCAAUGAACUCUGGGGGUGCUGGCAUCUGCUGGGUGUUUCCGUGCCAUUCUUGCUGAGAAGAAUUGGCUUUGGGACUCAGUUAGCUUCGAGGAAGGGAACAUUGCAUGCUUGGCUCAGUGUGCUUGGCUGGUUAAUCUUUGAUAAUUUCAUCUGAAUGAGAUUUGCUGAAUUGGUGAAUAUUGAAUUUAAAACUAAUUAUGAGUGAAAAAUAAAAGGGUAGUGCUUAUGUCUGAACUUGAUGCUUUUUUGAGUUAGCACCAGCUUACUGGAACCACAGUUUAUCUCCGCCUGUUCCUAGCAUUGAAGAGGUUUCUCGUCUUGCCAGACUCACACUGCGUCAGGUUGUGUCUCUGCUCUCUCAUUGACUAUGAACAUGUCAUGGUGUCCUGCAGUAUGGGUCUCUGGUGGAUUGUUUUAUGGUGGCACCCAAGUAUUUUCCCCAAAUUUUUCCUUUAUUGUUAUUAUUAAAAUUCCACUAAUGGUUAAAUAUUCAAUGAUCUUUCAGUCUAGCAACUUGUUGAUAACUUUAGGUUUCUGAUUUGUUUUUAUUAUAGCAGUUUGGGGGGGUGAAUAGGGUCUUUGAUUAAUGUCAAUUGAAUUUGGGUUUCUAGUUUUUUGAAGAAAACCCUCCCAAAUACACUUUUCCUUUAUAUUUGGAAAAACUUCACUGAUAGCUCCACUUAACUCUCAGAGUAUUGUCCUGGUUGAUUUUGAAAUAUGAAAGUAGGUUACCAUUUUGAGGCAAUUGGAUAAAAAUUAUGUAAAUACAGACAAUUACAAUGUUUAUAGCCGGCAUAGCAUGAAUGUACCAGCUACAUUCUGCACUGCAGAUUUUUUUGGAGGUAUGACAUGGUAUUUUUUUAUGUUCCUUUUACCUCUCUUGAUUUCGGAAUACUUCCCCAGAUCCAAAACUCUUCACAGUUAUUUAUGUGACACAACACCCAUUCAUUCGUCUUAAGUGCUUCAGUCUUUUGUUUUAUUUCAUGCACUGUGCCUUCAAGAUGAAAAUUUAAAAGGGACUUUAAAAGAAUUGAAUAGUAGUUUUAAAAAAGUUAAUCUGUGUAAUUUAUGUGAACUCUAACUGUAAUGAGGUCCUUUGUUUUUUAUAUGUAAACAGAUCUACUAAUCCUGUAUAAAAGUUAUUUUAUGAUGUUUGUCUUUC
rnacentral:lncRNA from 1 species